rnacentral:lncRNA from 1 species
AGCAUCCAAGGAGAGUGUGGGCAGCUGGAGCCAGGUCCUCCUCCUCCUCCUUCUCCUCUUCUUCCUCCUUCGUUUCUUCCUUUCCUCCUCCACCUGCCUAUUGCAGAGCAGCAGAAAGCAAAGGAGCUAGAAAAGGGUGAAAUCAAUUCUUUUUCUGUAACCUUUUUGCUUUGCUUUUAUUAAGUUCUUAAGGCUUUUGGUCUUGAGUCCUAGAUAAGAUGCAAAUAAUUCUGAAGGGAUCAUAACUUUUAAUAUUAUCAGUGGAUAUUUAAGAAAAAAAUAAAACCAUAAGAUAGACUGAUAGAUAGUAGAGAAUAAAAAGAAGAUUCAGGAGAGGCCAUGGGGAGGCAAAGGAAGAGAAAGGAGUGGAGAGUGUGCAUGAGUGUGUGUGAGUGUGUGUGUGUAUGAGUGCAUGUGAGAGAGAGAGGGUGGGGGAGGGAGGGAGAGAGAGAGUGAGAGAGGGAGAAAGAGUGGAAAUUCUAGAAAGAAAUUGCCUCUUCUUCUGUUCAACUACUUCACUGUUUUGUCAAAAGUUAGCACUGCCUCUAAGGUCUCCUGCAACUCACCCACCCACCCCUCUUACUCCAUGGUAUUCAACUUCUAAACUAAGAGGAAAGCCCGAGCUAGAGGUCCUAUGCAUCAAUCAGGGAAGAGAUAUUGAGAAGAAUAAACAGAGAAACUGUAUUUUUUCUCUCAACUAAAACAUCCAUUUUAAUCAAUAUUUGGCAAGAAAAUAUAUACCUGUUUCAUCUUCACUGGUUAUUUCCAUAAACUGGAAAGAAGGACUGUCUAAAUGGUAGUUAUGUCCCAUGAGAUGUUUAAGCAAAAGGGAAAAUUAUACAAAAAAGAAUGCCAUAUUUUGUCUGCGCCACCAGAAUGACAAUAAAAAUUUAUCAUGCUAGAAAGUGCUAUCUGAAAGUGGACAACUUCAGCAUUACAGCCCCUUUCUGGGACAUCCCUGAAAGACGGUGGAGAAGAAAAAUGCCCCCCACCCCUGUGGGCAGAACUUCUGGCAGUGCAUCUGGUUGUGUACUUCGCUUUGUUGUCAAACAUCUUUAUUUUUUUCCCAUCUGAUAAGUGAGCAACAAUUCCUCAGUGUAGUUUUAAUUACAUUUCUCUUUUUGUGAACAAGAGAUUAAGUAAGUGUACUUUUACAUUAUAUGUUCUCUGAAUUGUCUGUUUUUAUCUCUAGCCCAUUUUCUUUCUUUUUUUUUUUUUUUUUUUUUUUUUUUGUAGAGAUGGGGUCUCUCUCUGUCGCCUAGGAAGGUCUCCAAUUUCUGGGCUCAAAGGAUCCUCACAAAGUGCUGGGAUUACAGGCAUGAGCCACCUUGCACAGCCUCAGCCCACUUUCUCUAUAGUUUUUUCCAGAGGGAAGGGGGGAUAAUUUUUUGUAAUGUGAUUAAAUUUAUCAAACUUUUUUUAAUGACAUGCAUUUUUCAUCACAGCUAAACAUUUUUCUCACUCAGAAUAUAGAGAAAUUCACUCAUAAUUUCUUAUUGUCCUGAAGAAAUUCUUAUGCAUACCAAAGUGCCAGUUUAUGAUCCAAGUUUGUAAAGUGAUGUCAAACAUUGCAUUGUUUAACAUGAGACAUUUAAUAAUCAGUCAUGUUCAUAGUUUUCUUAAUUCUUCUAAAUGAUGUCAAUCUGAUAUCUUCUUGCCUUUCUAAGAGAAGACAACAUAAAUCAUUAUGAUGCAGCCCACAAUCCAGCCAAUCAGGAGAAGAAUAGGAACCAGAAGGUGUGAAAAUGUAGACCCCGCUUU